rnacentral:lncRNA from 1 species
UAAUGAUGUCAAACUCCUCACUGGAGGCCUUAUCCUUGCUUAGAGUCCAGUAGGUGCCAACACCUCAGAAUACAAGUCUUCACAUGCCUAACGCCUGAGGGCUUCUGAUCCCAAUUGUUAAGGACAGAAGGAGCCUCCAGAUUUGGGAGAUGGUGAAUGUUCUGGUUAUUGGAGAAGUUCCAGGGCAUUUAUGGGGUUUACCUGGUAAAUGGAGGGCACAAGGAACCCUAUAGCUUAAAUCAUGUAUAACUGAGUGCCUAGAUCUCAACCUGGGUUGUUAGGAGGUAGGGGAGAGGUAGCCUGGGCCACAUCCUGGCUGAAUGCAUGCGAUGUUCCUUUUGGGAAAUAACUGUUAGUUGCAGAGGCAGCUCAGUGUGCUGCCAGGAGAUCAGUCUUUGCUUCUUCACAUAUACCAUCAGACCAUCACCUUGUCCUCAUCUAUAUACUACAUUUUUGUUUUUUAAAGGUUUAAUCAAUUGUAAUUACCCAAGUAAUGAGUGAAUUUUCUUUUUAAGAAAUUAGAUUGUUACAAAUAAUAGUAGUCAUUCAACUACCAUUCUCCCAUCGCAUCUUAAUUGCUGUAAUGUCUGUUGUACAUCCAUCUUAACUUUAAGACUUACAUGUGAAUUCAUUGAAUAUAUUGUGUUUAAUGC